GCCGCUAUCGUCUAAUGGUUAGGACACCAGCUUUUCAAGCUGAGAAUCGGGGUUCGAUUCCCCGUAGCGGUACCA
rnacentral:tRNA from 1 species